rnacentral:rRNA from 1 species
CCUACGGGGGGCUGCAGUGAGGAAUAUUGGUCAAUGGACGAGAGUCUGAACCAGCCAAGUAGCGUGAAGGAUGACUGCCCUAUGGGUUGUAAACUUCUUUUAUAUGGGAAUAAAACAGGGUAUGCAUACCCUCUUGUAUGUACCAUAUGAAUAAGGAUCGGCUAACUCCGUGCCAGCAGCCGCGGUAAUACGGAGGAUCCGAGCGUUAUCCGGAUUUAUUGGGUUUAAAGGGAGCGUAGGUGGCAUAAUAAGUAGCUAGUGAAAUCUGGUGGCUCAACCAUUCAGACUAUUCGCUAAACUGUUAAGCUCGAGACCGUUAGGGGUAACUGGAAUUUCUAGUGUAGGAGUGAAAUCCGUAGAUAUUAGAAGGAACACCAAUAGCGUAGGCAGGUUGCUGGGACGGUUCUGACACUAAGGCACGAAAGCGUAGGGAGCAAACGGGAUUAGAUACCCGAGUAGUC